rnacentral:rRNA from 1 species
AUUCCAGCUCCAAUAGCGUAUACUAAAGUUGUUGCAGUUAAAAAGCUCGUAGUUGAAUUUCUGGUCGUGGCGACCGGUCCGCCCCUCACGGGGUGUGCACCUGGUCUCUGCGUCCAUCCUCGGGGAGAGCGCGUCUGGCAUUCAGUUGUCGGGCGCGGGAUCCUCGUCAUUUACUGUGAGCAAAAUAGAGUGUUCAAAGCAGGCUUAGGCCGUUGAAUACAUUAGCAUGGAAUAAUAAUAUAGGACUUUGGUUUUAUUUUGUUGGUUUCUAAGGCCGAAGUAAUGAUUAAUAGGGAUAUUUGGGGGCAUUCGUAUUAAGCGGUCAGAGGUGGAAUUCUUGGAUUCGCUUACGACGAACUACUGCGAAAGCAUUCGUCAAGAAUGUUUUCAUUA